rnacentral:rRNA from 1 species
AAUGAACGCUGGCGGCAGGCCUAACACAUGCAAGUCGAACGGGCCCUUCGGGGCUAGUGGCGGACGGGUGAGUAACGCGUGGGAACAUACCCUUUGGUACGGAAUAGCCUCGGGAAACUGAGAGUAAUACCGUAUGUGCUCGAAAGAGGAAAGAUUUAUCGCCAAAGGAUUGGCCCGCGUUGGAUUAGGUAGUUGGUGGGGUAAUGGCCUACCAAGCCGACGAUCCAUAGCUGGUUUGAGAGGAUGAUCAGCCACACUGGGACUGAGACACGGCCCAGACUCCUACGGGAGGCAGCAGUGGGGAAUCUUAGACAAUGGGGGCAACCCUGAUCUAGCCAUGCCGCGUGAGUGAUGAAGGCCUUAGGGUUGUAAAGCUCUUUUACCAGGGAUGAUAAUGACAGUACCUGGAGAAUAAGCUCCGGCUAACUCCGUGCCAGCAGCCGCGGUAAU